ensembl:lncRNA
UGUUUUUCUCCGUCGUUCAGAGUAGGGCCGAGCCAGGGAUGCAUGCCUGCCUGCCUGCCUGCCUGCCUGCCUGCCUGCCUGCCUGCCUGCCUGCAUAGAGAAACUAGAGCCAGGGCUAACCCUAUCAUCCAGUACCCAGAACACAGCGUGUCUCUGAAUCCAGAAUUGAGGAACAAAGACCGGUAAUGUCCAUGCAAACACUGCCAGAGGGGGAUUUUCCAUCUCUUUUACCGGAGAGGAGGAGUAAGCUACUGACCGUCACAGCAGAGGUGCACCCUCCUCCUCCUUCCUUGAACCUGAGGGAAUUCUCCGAACCACUCCUGGCCCCUGCAACGGUUGCCAGGCCCAGGAUGAUGGACUGUGGCACGAUGACCGCCCCCACUAGUGACUGGUCGCCGGAGAAACUUCAAGAACCUGGGAGAGUGGAGGGAGCUUCCUCCCCUCCGUUCCCCUUCCCCUCCCCUGGUUCUCCUGUUCCCCCCUUUGUCUCCCUCCCCAUUCUAUAUUCUCCUACUAUCCCUCUAACACAGGCACCCAAACCGCAGAGGAAGGUUCGGAGGCUGGAGUCACCCACCUCGGUGAUUCACCACGCUCCCUUGACCAGUGGGGUACAUACUCCACCUCGGGCGGCUACAGAUUGGCAGUCCUGUGAUGAUGAGUCGGAGGAUGAAACGACACGACGGGCAGGGCCUUUUGUCCCUCCUACUUCUGGUGCCCGUGUGAGUCAGGGGACCUCCUCGUCAUCGGAUUCUUCUUCAGAGGAGGACCAACCGCUGGUGGACAAGGACUCAGACAGCCCCAUUCCACCGACCCCUCCGCCGAUGGGACCUGCGGCCCAGGGCACUCCUGCUCUCAACAAACCACGGCUGCCAACAUUGAUGAGGCCUUGCUCCACACCCUCAGUCGUAAUGAUUUGAGAGACCCUUUCCUGGACCAGAACACUUUCUCAGGAGGAAACGAGUAUGGGCUCUUAUUAGCCCAGAGAGUGGACAGAGACCAACAGACCCAGCACAGUGUGGUACAACGGGUCAAAGAGGAGCAACUUGGAUCUAUUAAAUUGCAGUCGGACAUUACAAGGCGGAACGGGAGCUAUCCAAACCUCUCGAGUGGCUGGAGAAAUCUGUUCAUAUAUCAAAGUGGACACAAGCAGACAAAACAACUAAAAUCACAGACCCAGCACAGGGUGGUACGAUGGGCCAAUGAAGAGCAGCUCAAAUAGCGGUCGGAUAUUACAGGACUGGACGGGUGCUUUCCAAACCUACUCCUCACUGUGGGCGGACAGAGUCCCGGUAGCCAUGUAGGGCUGACCAUGUCUGAUUACCUAAUGCUCACUGAACAAUUUAAAGGAUACAUCUAGCCUGUUGUUUCACUAUAAAUCAGGAGGGUGUUUUGAAAGACCUUGAGUUUCCUAGGAGGAGUCUCCCUUGUGUAUAAGAUUAGUUACAGACACUGGGCAGAUCUCAGUGUACACAUUGCAACUGGACCGUAAAUAUGAACCAAACACAGUUUCAAUAUUUUUUAAAGCAACUACUAGGAAGCGAUUAACAGUAUACAAUGGCAGAAGAAUAUUUUGCUACCGGAAACUAUGGAUACGGAGCACAUCACAUUGAUCACAACAUGGCAGACACUUAUAUUACUAGAGGCAACUAUGGACACAGGGAACAUCACAAUGAACAAGAAAUGACAGAAAGAUAUUUUGCUACAGGCAACUAUGGAUAUGGAGUACAUCAUGAUGAACACAAAAUGAACCUAAGAACACAGGAGCCUACAGGUCUCAAGGGAACAUCCUCGCCUGUGCAUAACAUUCGUGAGAGAAUCCGUUGUGAAAAACAGGCUAGUGGCCUGAAUGCUCCUGUUUAUAUGACCCACCCACGUACCAUUGGUCCUCGUGAUGACUCUGGGUAUAAUAGAGACUGGGUUCAGGACAUUAGUAACGCAUCAACGCGGCCACGUGAUACCAACGGUUCCACCUCUAGGCCAAACUUUUCUGCUGGGAAUGCAAUGCGUGGUAUACCUAAACCGUGGGGUUCGCUACCAUCACGGGGUGGCCCUGUUCAACAAGUACCAUAAGACUAGGCUCGAUCGCAUACGUAAUGACACCAACCAAGAACAAGCCAGCGGCAGAAUGCGCGAGCACCAUAUACACCCGAGGAGAGAACAGGAACAACCCAAAAGACUAAAAGCAGUCCCCAGGCGUGAUCCAAAUGUAUCCGGUAACGGCUAUAUCCCACCCAGAGAAGGUGGCAAGUAUGACAAUAACGUACCUUGGCACGGUAAGCCCAGAUCGCAUUUCACUGAGAAACAUGAGAUCAGUCCCGUCAAAGAAACCAUCGACGCUCCCUCACAGUGCAAUUCCUAUGAAGAGAACAGGUGUCCCACGAUCCGUAAAGGUUUUCACAGAAAGAGAGCCUGGAGGUAUUCCAGGCAAGAGUUAGGUGAUAGUACA